rnacentral:rRNA from 1 species
AUUGAACGCUGGCGGCAGGCUUAACACAUGCAAGUCGAACGAGCGGCGGACGGGGGAGUAAUGUAUGGGGACUGCCCGAUAGAGGGGGAUAACUACUGGAAACGGUAGCUAAUACCGCAUACUAUCGGAUAACCCAUAUGGGAUUAGCUAGUUGGUGAGGUAAUGGCUCACCAAGGCGACGAUCCCUAGCUGGUCUGAGAGGAUGAUCAGCCACACUGGGACUGAGACACGGCCCAGACUCCUACGGAGGCAGCAGUGGGGAAUAUUGCACAAUGGGCGCAAGCCUGAUGCAGCCAUGCCGCGUGUAUGAAGAAGGCCUUCGGGUUGUAAAGUACUUUCAGCGAGGAGGCGUUACUCACAGAAGAAGCACCGGCUAACUCCGUGCCAGCAGCCGCGGUAAUUC